rnacentral:rRNA from 1 species
AACGAACGCUGGCGGCAGGCCUAACACAUGCAAGUCGAACGCCCGCAAGGGAGGUGGCAGACGGUGAGUAACACGUGGGAACGUACCCUUCGGUUCGGGAUAACUCAGGGAAACUUGAGCUAAUACCGGAUACGUCCGAGAGGAGAAAGAUUUAUCGCCGAGGGAUCGCCCGCGUCUGAUUAGCUUGUUGGUGAGGUAACGGCUCACCAAGGCGACGAUCAGUAGCUGGUCUGAGAGGAUGAUCAG